GUCAAAGUUUACCAAUUUAUUCAUACAGAUAUAUCUAAUGUUUAUAAUUAUGCCAGAUUAUGAUUGCAAUGAAACCUGGAAAAAGACAUAGAAGCCCAUAAAAACAGAAGACUUGCAAUAGGUUUUAUCACCCAUCAUUUAUUUUAAUUAUCUAUAUAUAUAACAAAAUGUGUGCAUCUGUGUGUGGGUUUAAGCAUGCUUAUUGAGUAUUAAUAUAGUAGUUUAAACAUUUCAUGUUUGUGUGUGUCUGUAAUUCUGUUCUAUUCUUUUACUGUCAGCCAUAUCUAGGUUAUUUAAAAUCAGUGCAGUACUAUUAUCCAGACUGUGAAAUUAUACAUAAAUUGCGUAUGCUUCUUUGGAAUGAAAUUAAGACAACAUAUAACAGUUAUAAAGGUUAAAGAGACAGUGUUGUAUGAUAAAUUGCAUUUACGACCACUAGAUGUCACUGGAAGACCACUAAUGGGCUCACUAAAGACUAAAACAUUACAGUUCAUUGUCUCGAUGAUUGAUUCAUCUAGAAAAAUAUAUAUUACUAUUAUUUAAUAUUACUGUUCAAGCAUUUAAGAUCACAUUGAGUGAAAGUUCAACAAUUUAUUCAUACAUGUAUAUCAAAUGUUUACUAUUAUGUCAGAAUAUGAAUGCAAUGAAACCUGACAUAGAAAUGUAAGAAAAGAAGUCUUUCUGUGAGUUGUGUGUCACCUAUAAUUUAUUUCAAAUAUCUACAUACAACAAAAUGUGUGGGCAUGUACUUCUCUCUGUGUGUGUGUGUGUGUGUGUGUGUGUGUGUGUGUAAUCAUGCUUAUUGAUUAUUCAUAUAAUAGUUGAACCAUUUCAUUUCUGUGUGUGAGUGUCUGUGAGCCUAUUCUCCAUGUUAGACAAUGGCACACACAAGUUUGGCUUAAUUACAACAAAGCUUUGCAGAGAUAUAGCCUCAGGCUCAUUUUGUUAAGAUGCCUGACAUCUGAAGCAGCGCUGUACAAAAACGGUUUCGUCUAUUGACACGAAAUCCAUAACUUUUUGUCAGCACGGUCUGAAGAUGAUCUGAUUCAAUUUUGGUGAAAAUCAGACAAACGGUUGAGGAUGAGUUUAAAAAAAAAGUUUUUCAACAUGAAUCAAAAUGGCGGACAGGAAGUUUUGCUUAAUAUGACAUAAUUGGUAUGUAUGUUGUCGGCAUGUCCCAAGGAACAUUUUGAGACAUGUUUCAUGAUAAUAGGCUAAUGCAAUCAAAAGUUAUUAGCAUUAUUUGAAAUGUAAUAAUUAGCGGUUAUUGAUUGGUUUAUUACUCUUGACCAAUAGGUGGCGCUGUGACCAAAAUGAUGUGGCGUGGUCAAUGUGAUGUGACAAUGUCACAUAUUAAGUUUUGUGUAAAUAUCUCCAACCUUUGCAGAGAUACAGCCUCAGAUGCAGUUUGGCAUCUUUCCAGCAAAUUCGUUGGUACGCUAAUUGAAAACGGUUACGUGUAUCGACACAAAUUCCAUAACUUUUUGCCAGCAUGGUCUGAAGAUGAUCCAAAUCAAAUUUGGUGAAAAUCUGAGCAACGGUCUAGGAGGAGUUUGAAAAAGUAGGUUUUCAACAUGAAUCAAAAUGGCGGACAGGAAAUUUUGCCAAAAUUGACAAAUGGGGUAUCGGUGUUCUCGGCAUGACCCAAGGAAUCUAUCAACAUCAGCUUUGUUACAAUAGGCUAAUGUAUG